ACAGAAUGGACGCACAAUGAUUCAGUUGAGUGUAGAAACUUAUAAUGGAUGUUCCUGGCUGAUUUAAGCAUCUGGCAUGGUCCCGAGCUCUCUGGUUGCCUCUGUGUGUCAGGAGCAUGGAGAACAAUAAUGGACGCCCUUGAGCUGACUUCGGCAUCUUCCACUGUCAUGAGCUCUGUGGUUGCCUCUAUUGUUAGAGACACAGACGCCAAUAGUGGGCUCAUCAAGCUGAUUUUAGAAUCUUUCGCGGUCAGGAGAUCUGUAUGUAGGAGAACGGAGACGAGUAAUGGGUGCACUGGAGCUGAUUUAAGGAUUCUUCCACGGUGACAAGAUGGGUGGUUGUCUCUGUGUUUGGUGGACACACCCAAGCUGAUUUAAGAAUUAUCGGUCAACAAAUCUCUGUAUUUGCCUGUAGGAGCAUGGAAACCAACCAUGGAUGCACUCCAGCGGAUUUAAGCAUCUUCCGUGGUCACAUGCUCUGUGGUUCCCUCUUUGUAUAGAGUACAGAGACCGAUGUGCUCAGGAACUUACUUAAGCAUUUGGUUGUGAUCAAGAGCUCCGUGGAUGUCCCAUGUGAAAGAGUGUGGAGACCAAUAAUGGAUGCCCAAGCUUCUGCCAUGAUCAAGAUUGUCAUGUUGCCUCUGUGUUGGAAAGAGAACAAGAAAUGGAUGAACAAGAAGAGACCCAAACCUGGACCAAUGAUGACGACUCAGAAUGGAUGUACUUGAGCUGACUGAAGAAUUCUUUCAUGGCCGCGAUCUCUGUGGUUGCCUGUGUGUGUUAGGUGCACAGAGACCAAUAAAGAAAACCCCUGAAGUGAUUUAAGCAUCUGCCCUGCUCAGGAGCCCCAAAGUAGCCUCUCUCUUUAGGUCUUUAGGAACAUUAAGUCCAGUAAUCAACACACUCAAGAUGAUUUAAGCAUUUUUAUAGUCACGAGAUCUGUGGUUUCCUCUGUGUGUUAAGAGCAUAGAGACAAAUAAUGGACACACCUAAACUGGUUAAGUGUUUGACCAUGAUCAGGAGCUCCAUAGAUUGUCCCUACGUAUAGGUGCAUGUAGACCAAUAAUGGAUACUCCAAGCAGAUUUCAGCUUGUGCUGUGAUCAAGACUGUCAGGUUGCCUCUGUGUCAGGAAAGAGACCAAGAAUGGACACAGUUGAGCUGAUGUAAGCAUCUUUCAUGGUCACCAGCUCUAUGGUUGCAUCCAUAUGUUAGGAGCAUAGAGACCAAUAAUGGACACACUCAAGUUGAUUUAAGGAUUCUUCCACGUUAACACGUUCUGUGGAUACAGCUGUGUAUUAGAGCAUGGAGACCAACGUUUUCCCUAAACAUUCCUUAAUUGAUAAAGAUGUAAGCUAUUUUCAUUAUGAGGAAAGAGCACAUAGGAGAUAAUGAAUGCACCGAGCUGAUUUACGCCUUCUGCCGUGACCAUGAACUCUGUGUUAGGAGCAUAGAGACCGAUGUGACAAUAAUCAAAGCUCUCGUCUUGGUGGUGAGUGCUUGCUGCUAAUCAAGGUUCUCUGUGUGAUCGUCUCGGUAAUCAGAAGCUUUCUGGUUGCCUCUAUGUGUGGGGACCAAUAACAGACGCUGGAGCUGAUUUCAGCUUCUGCCAUGGUUAAGAUUGUCGUAUUGCCUCUGUGUCAGGAAAAAGAUUAACAAUGGACACACUUGAGGUGAUUUAAGCAUCUUCUGUGAUCAUGAGCUCUAUGUUUGCUUCUAUGCAUCAGGAGCAUGGAGACCAAUAAUGGACCACUCGAGCUGAUUUAAGCAUCUUCCAUGGCCAGGAGCUCUAUGGUUGCAUGUGUGUGUUAGGGGCAUGGAGAACAAUAAUGGCUGUAUUCCAGCUAAUUUAAACAUCUUCCUUGGUCAGGAGCUCUAUUGUUGAAUGUCUGUUUUAGAAGUAGGGAGACUAAUGUGAGAAGUAAAUGAAGGCACUAGAGAUGAUUUAGUAUCUUCCAUGGACAUGAGCUCUGUGGUUGCCUCUACAUAAUAGGAGGAUGGAGAUUAAUAAUGGACACACUGGACCUGACUUAAGGACUCUUCCUUGAUCUCCAGCUGUAGGGUUGCAUCUCUGUUUCAGGAGCCUGGAGACCAGUAAUAGAAGCUCCAAGCUUUCAGCCUCUAUUGUGAUCAAGGUGUCAUCUUCCUUUGUUAUAGGAAAGAGACCAAGAAUGGAUACUCGAGCUGAUUUCACCUUCUGCCCUGAUCAAGAUUGUUGUGUUGCCUCUGCGUUAAGAGAGAGACCAUGUUGUGCUUUGUACUUCCCCACAUGGACACAUCUGAGUUGAUGAAGCCUUAUCUCAUGAUGGCGAGCUGUGUGAUUGCAUCUCUGUGCCAGAAGCUCAGGGACCAAUAAUGGAUGCAGAAGCUGGCUUGAGCAUCUUUCUUGGUCAGGAGCUCUAUGGUUACAUCUGUAUAAUAGGAGGACGGAGAUUAAUAACGGACAUACUGGACCUGAUUUAAGGAUCUUUCUUGAUCGUGAGCCCUAGGGUUGCAUCUCUUUUUUAGGAGCCUAGAGGUCUGUAAGCAAUGCACUCAAGCUGAUAGUACUAUUCUUCCAAUGUCAUGAACUCUCUGGAUGCAUCUAUGUGGUGGGAGCAUGCGGACCAAUAUGCUCGAGCUGAUUUCAUCUUCUAUUGUGGUCAAGACUGUCAUGUUCCCUUUGUGUUAGGAAAGAGACCAAGAGUAGACACAAUGAAGCUGAUUAAGCAUUAUUCCAUGGUGUGGAGUUCUAUGAUUGCGUCUUUGGUUUAGGAGCACAGAGACCAAUAAUGGACACAGUGGACCUGAUUUAAGGAUUCUUUCUUUAUCAUGAGCCCCAGGGUUGCAUCUCUGUUCUAGGAGCCUGGAGACCAGUAAUGGAUGCACUGGAGCUGAUUGUAACAUUCUUCCAACAUCACCAACUCUCUGAAUGCAUCUAUGUUGUAGGAGCGUGGAGAGCACGAACAGAUCAUCAGGUUGAUUUCAUCUUCUGCUGUGGUAAGAUUGUUAUGUUGGCUUCAUGUUUUAAUAGUCAAAGUGAUUAAUAGUCAAAGGUCUUGUCUUGCUUUGGGUCAUUUGGUUAAAGGUAUUCAUGAUAUUAUUAAAAAAUAUUAAAUAUAAUCAAAAAGUUAACUAUUGCCCAAUAGCAAAUAUGAUAUGAAACAUUAUGUUGAUUAAUUGAUAAUAUAUAACUUUGAGAUCGAUUAAUGAAAGACAUAUAACCUAUAUUGGCAAUGAUUCUAUAGAUAGAAGUUAGGGAUGUUCAAGUAUCUUGUUUUUCAGGUUUUGUGAAUCAUAUAUUUAUUUUUUUAUUGUCAAUGAAUUAAUGAAUUAAUCAAUACAAAUGUAGAAAUGAAUGAAGAGAAAGUAGGCUUCUAUUGGGCCAGUGAUGACAACUGGUGGUGUGGGAUGAUGACUAAUACGUGUCUGGAAUUCUUGAGGUCCAACACAAUACCUGGUGUAUUCUCUCUGUUAUAUUUGGUACCAUAGACAAAUGUUAGGAAUAUACAAAGAUCAUGUUCUCAUUUUGGGUUCACAGAUUUAUAUUUAUUAUUAUUAAUUGAUAUAUAGAACUCUAAAGAAAUAUGAAUGACAGAUCAAGGAAAAAUGUGAAGCAUUGUGCAACUGUGAACAUAUGUGGUGAGGCAAGAAAUAUUAUUAAUAAAAAUUGAAAACAUUGAAGGUCAUUAAGAAAUAAACUGAUCUAGGGUGUUAUCUGUUUGGCUAAGGAUCAUAUAGAUACGGAUAAUUGAGUAAAUUUUAUUGUUCUGGGUCAUUCUCACAUUUGAGGUUGUUUCUUUUGUUAAGAGCAAAUAAUAUCUACAUUACAAAAAAAUUUUAAAUACCUAAGUUACUCAGUGAAUAAGGUGGAAAUGAAAGACCCAUGGGUAUAAGUUCUUAAUUUUUUUAUCCUCAACUCUGCUUUGUACUUCUCGGAAUGGACACAUCUGAGCUGAUUGGAGCAGCUUUCCAUGGCGGCGAGCUGUAUGAUAGCGUCUCCAUGUUAGAAGCAGAGACAGUAAUGGACCCACUUGAGGUGAAUUAAGCAUCUUCCAUGGUCACGAGCUCUGUGGUUGCAUCUAUGUUGUAGGAGCGUGGAGACCACUAGUGGAGACACUCGAGCUGAUUUGAGGAGUAUUCCAUGGUGGCGAGCUCUAUGAUUUUAUCUCCGUGUUAGGAGCACAGAGACCAAUAAUGUUGCAUACAGCUGAGCUGAGCGUUCCACCGUGGUCACGGGCUCUAUGAAACAAUAACAGACACUAGCUGAUUUCAGCUUCUGCUGUCAUCAAGAUUGUCAUGCUGCCUUUGGGUAUGGAAAGAGACCAAAAACAGACACACUUGAGCUUGUGUAAGCAUCUUCCAUGGCCAGGAUCUUCACGUUUGCACCUGUGUGUUAGGAGCAUGGAGACUAAUGGUGGACACACUGGAGAUGAUUUAAGCAUCUUCAUGGUCAUGAGAUUUCUGGUUGCAUCUAUUUGUUAGAAGGACAGAGACCAUGCACCGAGCUGAUUUUACCUUCUGCCAUGAUCAAGAUUAUGUUGCCUCUGUCAGGAAUGAGAACAAGUUAUGUGCCGCAUAAAGAUGUUUUGGUCAAUGAUGGACCGAAUAUAUGACGGUGAUCCCAUAAGAUUAGUACCAUAUAGCCUAGUUGUGUAGUAGGCUAUACCAUCCAGGUUUGUGUAAGUACACUCUGCGAUGUUCAUACAAGGACUAACUUACCCAACAACACAUUUCUCAGAAUGUAUCCCUGUCAUUAAGCAACACGUGACUGUAUUUGAAAGGAUCCUAUAGACAGAUGUCAGGAACAUACAAACAUCACGUUCUUAUUUUGGAGUCAUAGAUUUAGAUUUAUUGUUACUAAUGGAUCAAUGAUUGAACCAUUAAACAAGUAUAAAUAAAUAGAUAAAGAAGAUAGAUAAAGCAUUUUCCAACUAUGAACAUAUGAGGUGAGGCAAAAUAAAAACAAUUUUAUUAUUACUAAUAAAAAUUGAAAACACUGACGUUCGUUAAGAAAUAUAUGGAUCAAGACUGUUACCACUUUGGUUUAAGAUCAUAUAGACACUGAUCAUUAAAAGUCAAUUUUAUUGUUUGGAUCAGUUCCAAGUUUGAGAUUCUUCCUUUUGUUAACAGAAAAAAAUCUAUAUUUAUGAAAAAUUGAUAAAUGUCUAAAUGAGUAACUGAAAUACAGAAAUAAAGGGUCAAUGUAGAUAAAGUCUGAUUUUUUUUAAAUCAUCUGUUCUACUUUAUAGUCUCAGAAUGGACACACUGGAGCUGAUUUAAGUAUUUUCCACCUCAGGAGCUCUCUGGUUGCAUCUAUGAGUUAGGAGCAUGGAGACCAAUAAUGCACGCACUUGAGCCGAUUGAAGCAUCUUUUAUGGUCGUGAGCUCAAGGUGGCAUCUAUUUGUUAGGAGCAUGGAGACCAAUAAUGGACACAUUCGAGCUGAUUUAAGCAUCUUCCGUGAUCACUAUCUUUUUGGUUACAUCUAUGCAUUAUUAGCAUGGAGACCAACGAUGGAUGCACCAUAGCUAAUUAAAUUAUUCUCCAAUCAUGAAGAUCUUUGCCUUAUCCCUUUGGGGAGGGAGCAUAUCAUGCUACAAUGGCUGCAUGUUGGCUGUUUCAGUCAUUAUUUAAUGAUGAAGAUCUUGACUGUUACCCAUGUGGCCAAGGAGAGUGUGGAUCAGGGAAAGACAGCAGUUCGUGCCUUUGGGGGCGUCACCAGAACCCUCCAGCCUUCCUUCAUGCCUUUCGUCUGUAAAAGGGAAGUACAUUUCAUUCAUGUAUUUGGCACAAAUCCUGAUGUGCGCUCGGAGCCACGCGCUGUCAGUGAGCCGCGGCCCCUGCCCGCCGUGCGGGGGGAGUCGGGGGCUCGCACCCCGGCCAGUGAGCAUCAGACUCCUAACACACGUGUUACUCUCCUGUCCCUGUCCUUCCUAAACCUUACAUUGUUGUGACGUAGUCAUUUGCUAGGACACUGUGUGACCAUUCAACAUCACGAGAUAGGAAAUUGCUGAAUGGCGCAGAAAAACGUUCAGGAUAUACAGUUAGGCAAAAAAAUUAGGAUGACAGUGAUGAGUCCAAUUAAAAAUAUGCGUACGUACAAGUACACACACACACUCUCUCUCUCAAAGGUGCCACCAGUUCUCGCUCACAUAAGGACUCUCUCCACUGCCUUGCUGUCCCCACAUCUUCCCUCCACCGGCCUCCCCAGGCUCACAGGGACCUCAGUGUCCUCAGCGACCUUCACAAAGGGUGACAUUUCCUUCUUCACUCCAUCUGAGCCUUGAGCUGGAGUCAGUGACUGCCCAGCUCAGCCUCGGUUUCUCUAUCUGUAAAAAUGGGACAAGGAUGAUGACACAAAUCUCUGCCAUCACCAUUUGCCCACUGGGGAGAGAGAAGAGAUUUCUCUCCAUUUGACUGCAGUCCCGACCCUCUUCCUCUCUAUCCUUCCAGGCCCUUGACCUUCACUCAAAAUUUGGGGGCCAGUUUGUUAUAUUUUCUUUUCCUUUGGAUCUGAGGCUUCUCCUGCCAGCACAUGUUUUAUCGACUUGAUAAAAUAAAAGACAGUCCUGCUUGCUUGGCGGGGGCUGAACCCUGUCCUCGGCUGGGGUUCCUGGUGUCAGCAGGAGCUGGUGACCCCUGCCAGCCAGGGCUACUAGCAGCUGCCCAGAGGGGACAAAGGCAGGCCUGGGCACCUGUGUCUCUGCCACGCCUCCCUUUCCUCGGCUGCCCCCUCACCUCCACUGCCCCCAGGUGCAGCUGUGCUCCUGCCUCUACUGAUGCGCCCUCCUGCGGGGUUCUCUGGGGGGGGCCCUGGGCCAGAGUUCAGACUUCUUAAAGGGCCCACUUGUCUAGCUCCCUCCGCCCCUGGAGUCCCCCUGGUGCUUCCCUGCCUCCUCUCGUUCAUGCCCGGCCUCUCUAUACAUACCCUUCGCACUGUCCCCCCACCCCCCAAAAUACUACUGCUCUUCAGGUCGCAUAUCCAAGUAUUUAGUGCCCUGGAGAGCCAUGGGCCCACAUUCCUUGGUUUGGCUGUUUAUCCAGCUGGCGGGCCCUCAUCGGACCUGGAGAAGCCAUACUUGAAGUGUGGGGGAGGUCACCAAAGGUAGCGCAGAAGACAGGGAGCAAGAAGGGCCGCCUGGGACCCUCUGGUCCAAGUCCUUCACUCCGUGGGUCUCCUGGCUUGUCCUCCCAGGCUUUUCUCCUUGCCAUCCCUUCUCAGGGACUGCAGCUGUGUGCUAGGGCUGGAUUUGUGCUGGGAGGAAGGAGAGGCAGAGUCGGGGAUGAGAGAGGGGCUGGGGCUGCCUGCAAGACGAGGCCCUGCUGCAUAGUGGUCAUUCUCUGGGGUGCAAGGGGCCACCAAGGAAAGGGAUUGUGUGAGUUGGACAGUGCUGGGCAGAUGUUGGAGAAACCAGGGAGGGAGCGACCCUUUGUGGACCCCAAGCCCAACUCAGCCCUGCAUGGCCCCCCAGGGAACUGCUGCAUCAAUGGAUGCUGCUGCAUUUACCACCUCACAGAAGUCCCUUCUUACAGAGAAGGAAACUGAGGCUCAGAUGUACGCAGUGAGCCCAGCUCAGCCCCCAUAGCGACCCCAACGCUAGGUGUCUCCCCGGGACACACAGGGUGGAGAAUGUGAGGCAGAAAGGGGGCUCUGUACACUGGGCCUGGUGUCCGUUGUUUCCAUCCGUGAGGUUGGAAGCAGCAUCCUCUUUCAUGCGAGGGGCUCAGGUCCUGAGAGCACUGUAGCCUGUGUUCAUGGUUUGCUCAUCAGGACAAAAGAACUUAACAAACUUUCCUGGCCAAGUCUACCAAUUCGGUGACCUUUCCUAAAAACCCCGCAGGGAAGCAUCUGGAAAACUCCCUUCCUGCUCCUGACAGUCGCCCCAAAAAGUUUCAAAAUACACAGAACGUGCGCUUGCAGAGCUCAGAGCCUCGCUCCCGGCCCAGCCCGUUCGGGGAGUGGAUGCAGGGCUGCCCUCGGCCUGCCGGAGCUUGCCCCCCAGAGCCCAUUUGGUGCCCACUUGCCCCCAAACUCCCACUUCCGUGACCUCAGGGAGAGCCUCAAUUGGGAGGCUGUUCAUCCGUCUUGAGCCCAUUUCUUUCACGUUAACAAGAGCCUCCCUGAGUUGGCUCCUGGGCCAGGAAGGCGGGGCGAGGGCUGUGUUGAUGGGAGCAGAGUAAACAGUGAAGCUCAACUCCUGAAUCCAGGUCUGGGGCGGAGCCAGGGUGGGGCUCAGGGCUGGCGGGGAGCCACAGGACCACAGGAUGAAGGAAUGUCCACCAGCACAGGGGGAUGCGUGUUACAGUCAGUGUUCUAGCUCUGGGCUGGAGCCAUGGUGGGUUUAUGGAUGGGCAUUAAAUCUUUAAAAAGUUGAGUAAAGAGUAAAGUUAAAGAGCUUUCAUGGACCAAUGAUCACUGGUGUCGUGGAAUAAAGAUUGUCAUCAGUCCAAUUCUAUGUAUACUUGGCGUCGCAGACAGUAAUAGUAAUAUUAAUAAUAACAAGAACUUGAUGCUGAUCAUCUGGGCCAGUCCUGUGGACUCCUGUGUUCCUUAUCUCCACGAAUGUCCAGGUUAGUCUUGAAACGAAAGUCGCCCACGUCUGCUCCCUCUCCUCCACCUCUCCUGCCUGUGUUUCCUGUGAUUCCCCAGUGCACACCUCCUGUCAGCUCUCUCACUCUAGGAAGGUCCCCCUGAUACUCCCAGACCUCCCAGAGCUGCUGGCGAUCUGCCCCCUACAGAACUGCUGUGUUUAGCUCUAUAGCUGUGUUUCACAUUCAUUUAUGAGUAUCCUGAGGGCAGGAGCCGGCUCUGAUGCAGCUCCGUGUCCCCAGUGCUAGGCCUCGCUGUUCCCAAAGUGCCCCUCCAGGAGUGUUUACCUGUUACCCUUAUGCUGUUGGUCAGACACGCACUCCAACAGUUGGAUUUGGUUUUGUGAUUCAGCCCUCUUGUCUUGGAAGGUCGUUCUGCAUGGAGCCCAGAGCUGUGAGGUGUGGUUGCUUGAGCACAAGUCUUCCUGAAGACACUUCUGAUGAGGGAGCACUGGCUUUGCCGGGAGGACUUCCCAAGGUGAUGCCCACCUGGAGGAAGACAGCGGUCCCCAUGACAGCUCCAUGCCCCAGAGCAUGCAGGUAGGUUAUCUGUGGUUGCAUUUAUCUUGCUUCUGAUAAAUCACACAAAGCCAGCCUAGUUCAGUAUCCAGCCCCACUUCAGAGGGAUGGCUGGUCUUUGCCUCCUUCAGUGAUGGGUUUGGAGUUAGCCCAGCCCGUGUUAGGUGAAUGCUUAUUGCACGGAGAGCAUGCCCUGCACAGACAAUGCACGUGGCCUGGACCACUGCCCCUCAGCCUCCAGUUCAUUCUGAAAGGAUGUUAGGGACAUAAUAACAUCUUUGAGAAGAAAAGUUGGUUUUGAGAUCAAGAUGAGACCUUGAGGGUCUCUGGAAUUGGUCUGGGGUGGGACCUGUUUAUUUCUAACAAGAAUUCUUUAGUUGAUUUAUUUUUAAAUCUGGAGGAAUGCUUGAUGUUAUGCCAACUUAGGGCAAAGGGCUCUGUCAUCAAUUCUGAUCCAGGAGAAGUGAGCAGAUAGCUGACUGUAGGCCACAUGCUUUACCAGGGACACACCUGGUCCACGCACCACUGUAUCCAACUCAUCACUAGGAGGCGAUACUGAUGUUAGGCGAGAGGCUGUGUUUCUGUAGAUGGUUCUUCUCUGUCAUACUAGGAGAGGUUUCCUUUGGUGUGUUCAUUUCUUUUAUGACAAAUCAUUCCCUCUGACCACUCUUCGGUCUCAGACACCACUUGAAAGACUUCCUGGACAAGACAGAAGUUGUCAGCCCCAGUCCAGGCUGAGGGAGCCAAGGCAUCUGCUUCCGUCGCUCUGCACAUCAUGUCUGACACUAAUGCUCCUUGCCAGUCCUUCUCAGGAGGAUGUCAUGGAGGCGACGCCAACCUUCCGGAAAGGAAGUGGUUCUUGGCCAGCUAUGAGGCCAAGGCACAGAGGUAGGUUGUUGGCUGUACAUUUGUUUUGAUGGCAGUAGGCUGUGACUCUGGGUUCUGGGCUCUCUCAUGGCAUUUGGGGAAAGGGCACGGGGGUCUCAAGAAGGGCCAGGUCUUUCCACUCAAACCUUCCUUUGUUUGAUGAGAGCUGGAACAGAUGCAGUGGCAGUGAUGACUGGCACAACCAAUCUUUCAUAUUAGCUGAUGCCCAGACCAUUCCUUCCACCUGAAAAGAGCCCUGGGGACAAGAGAGAAAGACAAGGAAAUGUGACAGUGGUGAGCGUGCCAUUGCCUCUGAUGUGUCCAGGGCUGGUGGCCACUGAGUUCAUGAAGCCUGGACUCUCUGGGGGUUAAGCAGGAGUCAGAAGAAAGAUGCUGAGGGUGUCGGGAGGCAGCACUGCUCCGUGACUCUCUGUCCUCUGCUUUAGAGGUCAGCUUAGGAGAAAGGGCAGGGCACAGUUGCACUUUAUUAGGAGGAAACCUGGAACUUGCUUUCCCUUGAUUUUUGACUCCUAUCUCUCCAGUCUUAUCAGGGUUGGCCUACCUCCCUACUGCAAUGAAAAAGGGUCUGGAGAUAUCAAUAUUCCCCCUACAAUGAAAAAAUGAUGAUAAAAUGAGUUUUAUAGAAAAAUAGAAAAGCCAACCCAGAGUUGGUGCAAACAUUUGGCAAACUACCUUCAGGAAAUGAAAUUUGUUUUUAUUCCUUAAUUCCCCUGAAUUAAAUGGAAGGUGGCGGAAGGUGUUAAGCUGGCCCUGUCCCAGCUUUCCCUGCCCUCCCUCGGCAGGAGGUUCUAGUGGGCACUCACUCUACGUAGGAUUAACCCGGUGACAUGCAUCUGUUUUUAGCAUCACACCUUGCUUGGAAGACUGCUUGGACCCAUGGCCAGUUCCAAGCGGGGGCUAGGGGCCAUCCCAAAGCAGACCACACCACCUGCCCCUUGACCACGGGACACAGCGUUUGUUUGUGAACUCUUUCCUGAUGCACCGACAUCAGGGUGCAAACCAUUGCUGGGGGCGCUUCCUGAGGCCUGAAUUCCAGGAGACUGUGGUUCCACCAUCAGGAAAGCUCCAAGACCUGGAGAGAGGUUGUACACUGAAUGUU